rnacentral:misc_RNA from 1 species
GGCAACUGGAAAUGCAAUGGAACCGUGGAGGAAGUGAAAAAAAUUGUGACCACAUUGAGUAAGGCGGAAGUUCCAUCUGAGGAUGUUGUUGAGGUUGUCAUUAGUCCUCCAUUUGUAUUUCUUCCCUUGGUCAAAACCUUAUUGCGUCGUGAUUUCUCCAUUGCUGCACAAAACUGCUGGGUAAGGAAAGGAGGUGCAUUUACUGGGGAGGUUAGUGCUGAGAUGCUGGUCAAUUUGGGCAUUCCCUGGGUCAUCCUUGGUCACUCUGAGAGAAGGCUUUUAUUGAAUGAAUCAAAUGACUUCGUGGCUGGUAAAGUUGCAUAUGCACUUUCACAAGGCCUAAAAGUGAUUGCUUGUGUUGGGGAGACUCUUGAGCAGCGAGAAUCAGGAUCUACAAUGGUUGUAGUUGCAGCGCAAACAAAAGCAAUUGCAGAACAAGUCACACACUGGUCCAAUAUUGUUUUGGCUUAUGAACCAGUAUGGGCCAUUGGAACAGGAAAGGUUGCUACUCCAGCUCAAGCUCAACAAGUUCAUUUUGAAUUAAGGAAAUGGCUUCAUGUGAAUGUUGGUGCAGAAGUUGCUGCUUCAACUAGAAUCAUCUAUGGUGGUUCUGUAAAUGGAGCUAACUGCAAAGAGUUGGCAGCACAACCUGAUGUAGAUGGUUUUUUGGUUGGUGGUGCUUCACUGAAGCCUGAAUUUAUUGAUAUCAUCAAGUCCGCAACUGUGAAAACAACCGCUAAGUCGGAAUAAGUGUUGCUACAAGGAACCAUCUUUUCUCUGACUCUUUUGUAUGUUUAUUGUAAAUCAACUUCAAUAAUACAUGUUAGGCACAAGGGUUUUAUUUAAAAUAAAGAAGGUGAUGUUUGCAGCAUGCCUACAUUAAUUUGCUUGAUGUUCAAUCUUUGUCUAUUCAUCCAACUAUUUUAUUUCAGCUUACUGGAAAGUGG